UUUCGGCGAGUGAAACGGGAAAAGCUCAACUUUGUAAUCUGGCAGCUUUGCUGUCCGAGUUGUAGUCUCGAGAAGUGUUUUCCGCGCUGGAUCGUGUAUGAGUCUGUUGGAAUACAGCGUCAUAGAGGGUGAGAACCCCGUUCGUGACACGACUACCAGUGCUUUGUGAUACAUUUUCGAUGAGUCGAGUUGUUCUGGGAAUGCAUCUCAAAUUGGGUGGUAAAUUCCAUCUAAAGCUAAAUAUUGGCGAGAGACCGAUAGCAAACAAGUACCGUGAGGGAAAGAUGAAAAGCACUUUGGAAAGAGAGUUAACAGUACGUGAAAUUGUUGAAAGGGAAACGUUUGAAGUCAGACGUGCGUUGUGCGAUUCAGCUCCGGUUCGCCGGAGUGUAUUUCGUACUAUUGCAGGCCAGCAUCGGUUUGGCGAGUCGGAUAAAGGUUAGAGAAAGGUAGCGGCUCCGGCCGUGUUAUAGUCUUUAACUGAAUACGAAUUGCUAGACCGAGGGACGCAGCGCGCCGCAAGGCAAAGCUUUCGGGCUUUUCGCGCUUAGGAUGCUGGUGAAAUGGCUUUAAAUGACCCGUCUUGAAACACGGACCAAGGAGUCUAACAUGCUUGCGAGUGUUUGGGUGUCAAACCCAUACGCGUAAUGAAAGUGAAUGGAGGUGGGAUCCUUUACCGGAGCACCAUCGACCGAUCCGGAUUUUUAAUGAUGGAUUUGAGUAAGAGCACGUAUGUUGG
rnacentral:rRNA from 2 species